AACAUGUACUUGAUGCCAGACACUUUUAGGGGCUGAAGACAGCACUGAACAAAAGACAUAGUGCCUUUCUUUGCAGAGAACCCUAGAGGCAAGAGACAGACAAGACACACAAUGAGUAAAAUAUGUGAUAUUGCAAAGGGGGUUAAGUGCAGAAGGCAGUGCUGGGGUUGGGACUGUAAUUUGAGAUAGAGAAGGCCUGACUACAAAGGUGCUAUUUGAGUAAAGACCCAGAAGACAUACAGGAAUGUACAUCUAGGGAGGGCAUUCCUGGUAAAAAAAAGAUGCAGAUGCAGGCCUCAUGUAUGGCUGGAGCAAAGCUGGGCCAGCAAAGGGGGGAGGGUGUGAGCUAAACAGCCCCAGGGCUACCACGAGAGGCAUAUCAGCUGAGCCCUUCUCUGUUUCUCACUCUCCAGGACUCCAGGACAAGACUUACAUGUCUCUCCUUUGCGGGUGGGGCUUUCUCAUUGGAAAUGCUGGAAGACGGGCCGCUGUUUCUGGUCACCUUCACAUCCGUUGCCACAGUUGUCUCCACUGCAGUCUAACACAUUGGUCACUUCCCCAGUUUCAGUGGUGGUGCGGUCGGUGGUGGUCCACGAGCAGACGACCCUCUUUCUGACGAAUCAUACGAAGGUCAAUAAGUAGUCUAACUCUGCGCCGUCGCAAUGCCUACGUCAUUCACCGCGCUUCAUCGGGGUGUCUAGGGAUUUUCUUAUCUCACGUCGCUGCAAGGAGGGGAGAGUGCAAGAGAGAGCACGAGAAGGGGGAAGAGGAAGCCUAUGACAUCUGCUGAGCAGGGAGCAGGAUGUAGGGGUGGAGCCCAGGACCUGAGUUCAUGAUCUGAGCCAAAGGCAGAAGCUUAACUGACCCGCCCCUCCUCACCCCCCAGGUGUGCUGUUACUUCACAU